rnacentral:rRNA from 1 species
UACGGAGGGUGCAAGCGUUGUUCGGAUUUAUUGGGCGUAAAGCGCGUGUAGGCGGUUUCUUAAGUCUGAUGUGAAAGCCCCGGGCUCAACCCGGGAAGUGCAUUGGAUACUGGGAGACUUGAAUACGGGAGAGGGUAGUGGAAUUCCUAGUGUAGGAGUGAAAUCCGUAGAUAUUAGGAGGAACACCGGUGGCGAAGGCGGGUCUCUGGGCCGAUACUGACGCUGAGGAGCGAAAGCGUGGGGAGCAAACAGG